rnacentral:lncRNA from 1 species
UCUUUUUUCUUCAUUAACUUAUCAUCUUCUAAUUGAGCUGACUUGAUCCGUUCAAACAUCACUGGUUUAAUUCUUAAUUCAUCCAAUAAACCUCCAUCAUGACUAAUACUGAGUUGUGCAAACAUCGUUCGCAAUUCAAUUGCUGCUUUCCUACUCAAUGCAUCAGCUACCACGUUAGCUUUACCUGGAUGGUAAUCAAUAAAACAAUCAUAAUCUUUUAAAAGUUCUAUCCAUCGACGCUGCC